rnacentral:tRNA from 1 species
ACAGCUCAGUUGGUUAGAGCAUCAUGCUGAUAACACCAAAGUCACAGGUUCAAUCCCUGUAAGAGACA